UACGGGGGGGGCAAGCGUUGUUCGGAAUUACUGGGCGUAAAGGGCUUGUAGGCGGCCAACUAAGUCCGACGUGAAAUCCCCAGGCUUAACCUGGGAACUGCGUCGGAUACUGGAUGGCUUGAAUUCGGGAGAGGGAUGCAGAAUUCCAGGUGUAGCGGUGAAAUGCGUAGAUAUCUGGAGGAAUACCGGUGGCGAAGGCGGCAUCCUGGACCGACAUUGACGCUGAGGAGCGAAAGCUGGGGGAGCAAACGGG
rnacentral:rRNA from 1 species